rnacentral:rRNA from 1 species
GAUGAACGCUGGCGGCGUGCUUAACACAUGCAAGUCGAACGAUCAAACUCAGCUUGCUGGCUGGAGUAGUGGCCAACGGGUGGGUAACACAUGAGUGACCUGCCUUUCACUCUGAGAUAAGCCUGUGAAACUAAGUCUAAUUCCGGACAGAAGAUUUAUCGGCAUGGUGGGUGCUGGAAUGAUUUAUGGGUUUUGGAUGGACUCGCGGCCUAUCAGCUUGUUGGUGAGGUAUUGGCUCAGCAAGGCCAAGACAGGUAGCCGGCCUGAGAGGGUCACCGGCCACACUAGGCCUGAGACAGGGCACAGACUGGUAUGGGAGGCAGCAGUGGAGAAUAUUACACAGUGGGCGAGAGCGAGAUGCAGCGACGCCGCGUGAGGGAAGACGUGAUUCGGGUUGUGAACCAAUGUCAGUAUAGAAGAAGAGAUAUUGACGGUACCUGCAGAAGAAGCACCGGCUAACUACGUG